rnacentral:rRNA from 1 species
GGGUAGUUUGACUGGGGCGGUCUCCUCCUAAAGAGUAACGGAGGAGCACGAAGGUCAGCUAAUCCUGGUCGGACAUCAGGAGGUUAGUGCAAUGGCAUAAGCUGGCUUGACUGCGAGCGUGACGGCGCGAGCAGGUGCGAAAGCAGGUCAUAGUGAUCCGGUGGUUCUGAAUGGAAGGGCCAUCGCUCAACGGAUAAAAGGUACUCCGGGGAUAACAGGCUGAUACCGCCCAAGAGUUCAUAUCGACGGCGGUGUUUGGCACCUCGAUGUCGGCUCAUCACAUCCUGGGGCUGAAGUAGGUCCCAAGGGUAUGGCUGUUCGCCAUUUAAAGUGGUACGCGAGCUGGGUUUAGAACGUCGUGAGACAGUUCGGUCCCUAUCUGCCGUGGGCGCUGGAGAAUUGAGGGGGGCUGCUCCUAGUACGAGAGGACCGGAGUGGACGCAUCACUGGUGUUCGGGU